rnacentral:rRNA from 1 species
UACGUAGGGGGCGAGCGUUGUCCGGAAUCAUUGGGCGUAAAGCGCGUGUAGGCGGCCCGGUAAGUCCGCUGUGAAAGUCCAGGGCUCAACCCUGGGAUGCCGGUGGAUACUGUCGGGCUCGAGUCCGGAAGAGGCGAGUGGAAUUCCUGGUGUAGCGGUGAAAUGCGCAGAUAUCAGGAGGAACACCAAUGGCGAAGGCAGCUCGCUGGGACGUGACUGACGCUGAGACGCGAAAGCGUGGAGAGCAAACAGG